CGUCUUCCAUAGGAGGUCUUUAUUGAGUAGAUUUUUGGUGUUGGGAGGUGGAACUGGAGCUUGCUCCAUCCCUUCCAUGCAUUGGCCUGAUAUUGCAGUGCUUCCAGAAGCGGUGC
rnacentral:snRNA from 1 species